rnacentral:rRNA from 1 species
GGUUUGAUUCUGGCUCAGAUUGAACGCUGGCGGGAUGCUUACACAUGCAAGUCGAACGGCAGCACGGACUUCGGUCUGGUGGCGAGGGCGAACGGGUGAGUAAUGUAUCGGAACGUGCCUAGUAGCGGGGAUAACUACGCGAAAGCGAAGCAUUACCGCAUACGGCCCUUCGGGGGAAAGCGGGGGACCUUUCGGGCCUUCGCACUAUUAGAGCGGCCGAUAUCGGAUUAGCUAGUUGGUGGGGUAACGGCUCACCAAGGCGACGAUCCGUAGCUGGUUUGAGAGGACGACCAGCCACAACGGGACUGAGACACGGCCCAGACUCCUACGGAGGCAGCAGUGGGGAAUUUUUGGACAAUGGGGGAAACCCUGAUCCAGCCAUCUCGCGUGUGUGAUGAAGGCCUUCGGGGUUGUAAAAGCACUUUUGGCAGGAAGAAAACGGCACGGGAUAAUACCCCGUGCAACUGACGGUACCUGCAGAAUAAGCACCGGCUAACUACGUGCCAGCAGCCGCGGUAAUACGUAGGGUGCAAGCGUUAAUCGGAAUUACCGGGCGUAAAGCGUGCGCAGGCGGUUCGGAAAGAAAGAUGUGAAAUCCCAGAGUUUAAACUUGGAACUGCAUUUUUAACUACUGAGCUAGAGUGUGUCAGAGGGAGGUGGAAUUCCGCGUGUGCAGCAGUGAAAUGCGUAGAUAUGCGGAGGAACACCGAUGGCGAAGGCAGCCUCCUGGAGCAACACUGACGCUCAUGCACGAAAGCGUGGGGAGCAACAGAUUAGAUACCCUGGUAGUCCACGCCCUAAACGAUGUCAACUAGCUGUUGGGGCCUUCGGGCCUUUGCAGCGCAGCUAACGCGUGAAGUUGACCGCCUGGGGAGUACGGUCGCAAGAUUAAAACUCAAAGGAAUUGACGGGGACUCGCACAAGCGGUGGAUGAGAUUAAUUCGAUGCAACGCGAAAAACCUUACCUACCCUUGACAUGUCUGGAAUCCCGAAGAGAUUUGGAGUGCUCGCAAGAGAACCGGAACACAGGUGCUGCAUGCCGCUGUCAGCUCGUGUCGUGAGAUGUUGCUGAAAGUCCCGCAACGAGCGCAACCCUUGUCAUUAGUUGCUACGAAAGGGCACUCUAAUGAGAUCGCCGGUGACAAACCGGAGGAAGGUGGGGAUGACGUCAAGUCCUCAUGGCCCUUAUGGGUAGGGCUUCACACGUCAUACAAUGGUCGGGACAGAGGGUCGCCAACCCGCGAGGGGAGCCAAUCCCAGAAACCCGAUCGUAGUCCGAUCGCAGUCUGCAACUCGACUGCGUGAAGUCGGAAUCGCUAGUAAUCGCGGAUCAGCAUGUCGCGGUGAAUACGUUCCCGGUCUUGUACACACCGCCCGUCACACCAUGGGAGUGGGGUUUUACCAGAAGUAGUUAGCCUAACCGUAAGGAGGGCGAUUACCACGGUAGGAUUCAUGACUGGGG